AACGAACGCUGGCGGCAGGCUUAACACAUGCAAGUCGAACGCAUCCUUCGGGGUGAGUGGCAGACGGGUGAGUAACGCGUGGGAACGUGCCCUUCAGUUCGGGAUAACCCAGGGAAACUUGGGCUAAUACCGGAUACGUGCGAGAGCAGAAAGAUUUAUCGCUGAAGGAUCGGCCCGCGUCUGAUUAGCUAGUUGGUGGGGUAAUGGCGCACCAAGGCGACGAGCAGUAGCUGGUCUGAGAGGAUGAUCAGCCACAUUGGGACUGAGACACGGCCCACACUCCUAGGGGAGGCAGCAGUGGGGAAUAUUGGACAAUGGGCGCAAGCCUGAUCCAGCCAUGCCGCGUGAGUGAUGAAGGCCUUAGGGUUGUAAAGCUCUUUCGUCCGGGACGAUAAUGACGGUACCGGAAGAAGAAGCCCCGGCUAACUUCGUGCCAGCCGCCGCCGUAA
rnacentral:rRNA from 1 species